AACCAGGCAAUAACUGGACUGGCUGUCUGACAGCCAGGAGGUGUAACAAGAUUAAUGUUUAAAAGUGACAAUUUCUAUUGAGAUCUGCACUUUUCAUAAAAUUAAAAAGGACACACACUUCAUAUGUUAAGGACAUUAGCAGUCUAAAGUGCUUUUGAUGUCAAGAGUGUCCCAUUAACUAAGUGAAUUGUCCAAAGGUUGUUACUUUACUGUCAGAUUCCUUUGUAAUCUUUGAAUCCUUGCUACAACGUGUGUCCAACAAUGGACAGGAUGCUUUUAUUUGUAGUUCCAGUUCAGCUGAGAAAGCUUCUUUUACGUAGUGAAUGCCUUUAAUUGGAGAGUAGAAACUACUAAUCAGGCAAUUA